rnacentral:rRNA from 1 species
UACGAAGGGGGCUAGCGUUGUUCGGAAUCACUGGGCGUAAAGCGUAUGUAGGCGGAUCGUUAAGUCGGGGGUGAAAUCCCGAGGCUCAACCUCGGAACUGCCUUCGAUACUGGCGAUCUUCGAGUCCGGGAGAGGUGAGUGGAACUCCGAGUGUAGAGGUGAAAUUCGUAGAUAUUCGGAAGAACACCAGUGGCGAAGGCGGCUCACUGGCCCGGUACUGACGCUGAGACGCGAAAGCGUGGGGAGCGAACAGG